CCAAAGCUGUCUCAUUUAAUUUAUACUAAACCCAUUUCAGGAGAGAUUAUUAUUUCUUUUAUACACAUGUGAAAAUGGAGGUCCAGAAAGGUAGAAAAUGUACUAAGUCCCCUUGGCUCAGAGACGGACCCAGGUUGUCUGGCUCCUGAACCGGAACGUUCUUCCCAUCCAGGGCCCACAAAGAACAAGAAUACUGAAAUUACAGGGCGCCCAGACCGCAUUGCUUAUCAGCAUAAACGUAACACUCAAGAUGGUUCAGUGCGUCUGCUGGGGACAGACAGAGAAGGGGGAGGCGGCAUAACUUUAUCCAAUCAGCUCUCUGCACCCGGCCACAUCCAGACAACCCGAGCCUCUCUAAGUAGGGCACCUUGUUGCUGUAGUGGCAGAGCAAAGGUGGCCUUGGUAAGGACUCACCCAGCUUGGCCCACACCUUCCUUCCAGGGUAGCUGAAGGAUCUGCAUUAAUGGAUAAGAAACACGUGUUUACAGCUUUGCCCAGGACUAUCUGUGGUAAUAAAAGCUCCAGUGAAAAGUUAGCCUGCAUGCCUGUUGUCUCCUGCCCUAAACCGGGGGCUGCUCAGCAACACAGACGCCCCAGAGCAGCGCCUUGUCUCGAAGGCCAACGACUUAGUCGCUCCCACUCCAUCCAGCUGCUCCUUCUGCCUGAGCGCCACAGGCCCUCAGCAGCCGGCUCCAGGAAGUUCUCGGCUUCCUCAUUUGAGAUGUGUUAUUGAACUGUAAUCGGACUGUGCGCGGAGCCAGCCAGAGCAGUGGCUAUUAAUAGGGAGGUGAAGAAGGCUGACUCAGGAGGAAGCUGACUUAGGCCGGAGAGGGGCGCCCGGCCGCCUUGGCCUACAAUCCUCGUAAGAGGCUGGAGACGGAGAGGGAGAGACCGGAGCUCGUUUCGUUCCUGGGCUGCAGUCAGCUCUACCUGAAUUUCUCAGCCUUGGAAACAGACUCCUGGAGCAGUCCCCAUGAGACAGAUCGAUAGAUGUCUUGCCCGGGUCCUGGGGAGUCUCAGAGCCCAGGGAACAAAUGGCUUAAAUAGCUACGACACAGCUGAGCAGCAACUCUUCCCUCGUGACGUCAUCAGUCGGAAAACUGGGAAAGGAGCACAGGGGGCUCUAUUUCUGUGGCCUCCCUCGCGGAGAAGCCAGUGCUGACCCAGCCCUCCACCGGCCGGAUCUCGGCCGUUGGCAGAGACCUCUGAGGCUGUGGAGAAGGGGGCACAUUUCACCUUUGCGUGGGAACACCUCCCCUCUUUUCCUCCGGGGAUGUGGCCAUUUUCAGAUCUGUGGGUGGGGAGGAAAGUCUUCUCUUCCAAAAAUAAUCUUUCUGCAGUGGAGUUUGAAGCUGGACCAAGCUGCUAGCACUAUUUUUACCCAGCUCACAGUUCAGGGUGUAAAUAGCAACUCUGGCUGGUUUUUUCCCACAGCUGACGACAAAGUGAGUCUACCUCGUCCAGGCAGAGGCAUUCUGGCAUUUUGCACAGAGGAGACAGAGCAAAAGUCGCCCUCCCAGCCCAGGGGAUGAGCCCUUGACCACUGGGCCAGUAUACAAACAGAGGUGGCAUCUCCACGGUUGUUACCUCGGUCUCUUCUGGAAACACUAGGCCUCUUGAUAGCUGCUUGGCUAAGGUUGAUGUGGGGUCCUGGGGGAAAGGCAGACCCAUAAGUCUCUGCGCGAGCAUGCCGAGGGCUCCAGGAGCUUGAGCGGCUGUGGGCUGCAGCUGGCUGCCCCCUCGCCCUCCCUUUGCAUUAACAAGCACUUCCUCUAAGCUUGCUGCCCUUGGAGGGUUUUUAAAUUUUUUUAUUUUUUUGCCCCACACCCACCCAAUCAGGAUACUGAAGACAGACGGAAAAAAAAUAUCCACUCGAGGCUGCCCAGAUGACAGAAUGUCUCUAAAAAUAUAGGCCUCCUAGUUCUCAAGUAACUGGAGACUCCGCAGCCCUCAGCAUUGGAAAGUGUCCUUUGGACGCCCUGGUAAGAGGACCGACUCCCGGCCGCAUGCGAGCAGGGCCCUGGGUUACGGUUGCCAGCUGGCUUGGGAGAGGUGGGAAGUUCGGCUUCACAGAGGACCCCUCGCUGGUACUGUUGAUGAGCGAGAUAAACCAAAGACUGAGACACGCCCAUCCCAGUUGCUGGUGGCAGCGUACUGCUCCUCUUCUGGAGAAGAGACUGCUGGCACUUUUCCCUGAGGCCAAGUUUCUUACCCAAAUCUUUCCCUGGGGUCUCUGGUCUGAAAAUAGAAAGGAGAGAUAUGAGUUGGCAGGAAGGUAGUUCCUUGUUAUGAAUCACACAGCAGCUGCUCAUUCCCUUCCUUCAGGUACACAUGGGUCAAUCAUCCAUCAACCAGAGAAUUUCUCAGGUAUCUACCACGUACCCAGAACUGGCAUUUAGUGCAUGGUUGCAGUUUCCGGUUCUUCCAGCAGACAAUGUGUAGGGUAAGAAAGGGAUUAGGGGACAGGGAAGCAGCUGAGUAAUCCCCAAAUCUGCUUUUUUGGAAGUGGUUUUUGUGCAGUUCCUUGGAACUGAUUCUGAGCAGUUGUUAAUUGCAAAACUCACUGCCAAUUAUUGAUAGCUCAAGUGGCACUGGAGAGCUCCUGAUGGUAAAAAUAGGGGCAGGGAAUAGAUGAGAAAAUAGGGUUGCAUUUGAGAAGACAGGACGGGAACAUACUGUCUCAAUCUGCUGUGUUGCGGGUUUCCAUUGUCAGCCUGGGUUCUCGCCCGUGACUGGCCAGCGAAGCCUCCUUAGUGACCUCCAGUAAACGGUCCACCAGGGAUCUGCGCAGGAUGAGAGCAAGGCUCGUCUUAGCCGCCAGACCGGAGGAGGUCCAUGCUGGGUUCAAGGCAUCCUGGUUCUCACUGUGUUUGGGGUUGCAUCGCACAGCCUGCACCACUGUUUUCAGUAAAGACCAUUGAACUUUAAAUGUGCUGUUGGCUGAUUCAGGAGGUUAUUAUUGCCCCAUUGACCUGGUAAUUCACUUGUCCACCAGACUUCAAAUUUACAAACAGUGGUCUUUUGGGAAAACCUCUUAAAGUCUGGAUGGUCUAUGUCUACCUUCAACAAAAAUAACUAAAGCAGGAAAAUGGUUCUGGGUAAGUAAAUCCAAAAGCAUGUGGCAGAUAGUCACAUGAUUCGACCAUUUGUUUUGAAAAAUGCUCUCAGCCCCAGCCUUGCCAUUGGGGAAACUGGGAACAUGGUAACCGACUUCCUGGCUGGUGUUUCCCUAGAUUUCCUGGAAUCCACUGUGAAGCUCUGUUGCCCCUGUGCCACCAAGCAGUUAAACUCUGACUGUGCUUUCCUGGUGACUAGGAGGCACAGUGUGACUCUGAGAUCAUCCA